rnacentral:rRNA from 1 species
UACGAAGGGUGCUAGCGUUGCUCGGAAUUACUGGGCGUAAAGGGCGCGUAGGCGGCCAGUUUAGUCAGAGGUGAAAGCCCAGGGCUCAACCUUGGAACUGCCUUUGAUACUGACUGUCUUGAGUUCGGGAGAGGUGAGUGGAAUGCCGAGUGUAGAGGUGAAAUUCGUAGAUAUUCGGCGGAACACCAGUGGCGAAGGCGACUCACUGGCCCGAUACUGACGCUGAGGCGCGAAAGCGUGGGGAGCGAACAGG